rnacentral:rRNA from 1 species
UACGUAGGGUGCGAGCGUUACUCGGAAUUACUGGGCGUAAAGCGUGCGCAGGCGGUGCUGUAAGACCGAUGUGAAAUCCCCGGGCUUAACCUGGGAACUGCAUUGGUGACUGCAGCGCUGGAGUAUGGCAGAGGGGGGUGGAAUUCCACGUGUAGCAGUGAAAUGCGUAGAGAUGUGGAGGAACACCGAUGGCGAAGGCAGCCCCCUGGGCCAAUACUGACGCUCAUGCACGAAAGCGUGGGGAGCAAACAGG